rnacentral:rRNA from 1 species
GCGUAAUAGCUCACUGGUCGAGUCGGCCUGCGCGGAAGAUGUAACGGGGCUAAACCAUGCACCGAAGCUGCGGCAGCGACACUAUGUGUUGUUGGGUAGGGGAGCGUUCUGUAAGCCUGCGAAGGUGACCUGUGAGGGUUGCUGGAGGUAUCAGAAGUGCGAAUGCUGACAUAAGUAACGAUAAAGCGGGUGAAAAGCCCGCUCGCCGGAAGACCAAGGGUUCCUGUCCAACGUUAAUCGGGGCAGGGUGAGUCGACCCCUAAGGCGAGGCCGAAAGGCGUAGUCGAUGGGAAACAGGUUAAUAUUCCUGUACUUGGUGUUACUGCGAAGGGGGGACGGAGAAGGCUAUGUUAGCCGGGCGACGGUUGUCCCGGUUUAAGCAUGUAGGCUGGUUAUCCAGGCAAAUCCGGAUAAUCAAGGCUGAGGUGUGAUGACGAGGCACUACGGUGCUGAAGUAACAAAUGCCCUGCUUCCAGGAAAAGCCUCUAAGCAUCAGGUAACAUCAAAUCGUACCCCAAACCGACACAGGUGGUCAGGUAGAGAAUACCAAGGCGCUUGAGAGAACUCGGGUGAAGGAACUAGGCAAAAUGGUGCCGUAACUUCGGGAGAAGGCACGCUGGUGUGUAGGUGA